UACGUAGGGGGCAAGCGUUGUCCGGAUUUAUUGGGCGUAAAGAGCGUGUAGGCGGUUUGGUAGGUCCGCUGUGAAAACUCAAGCUCAACCUCGAGACGCCGGUGGAAACCAUCAGACUAGAGUCCGGAAGAGGAGAGUGGAAUUCCUGGUGUAGCGGUGAAAUGCGCAGAUAUCAGGAAGAACACCCGUGGCUAAGGCGGCUCUCUAGUACGGUACUGACGCUGAGACGCGAAAAGCGUGGGGAGCGAACAGG
rnacentral:rRNA from 1 species